UGGCUUCCCGGGAUCGGGUGCCGUCCGGUCNCACGGUCGCGUCCCGUCAGACGCAUUUGACUCUCGCCCGAAGGACGCUGCAGCCGGUGGGGCAGUGGAAAACGUGACGGCCUGAAAGUCGGGAGAUGGCAGUUGACCGGUGGCGCGCACUCGGCGCGCCUGCCGGUUGUUAGCCGUCCCGUCUGUGGCCCGUCGCCCCACCGUGGUGUCGCUAGGCCCUAAAGGGCUUCCUCCGUCUCCUUUAAAAUCGAAGCGAGUAGAUCGCCGCUGGAGCGGGCAGCCGACACGUCGCACUCAUUGCGUGUGGACGGUCGAGCGAGUCUACCCCGCAGGCGGACGGCAGGGCUCGUAGGAGGUCGGAGGCUCGCAGCGAGUAGGUCGGUCACCCACCCGACCCGUCUUGAAACACGGACCAAGGAGUCUAACAUGUGCGCGAGUCAAUGGGUCUUGAACAGGCCCAGAGGCGCAAUGAAAGCAAAGGCAGGGCGUCGUGCCGGCCGAGUUGGGAUCCCCGCUCUCGGGUGGGGCGCACCAACGACCCGUCCCGUCCGGCUCGCCGGUGGGGCGGAGUGUGAGCGUACACGUUGGGACCCGAAAGAUGGUGAACUAUGCCCGGACAGGACGAAGCCA
rnacentral:rRNA from 1 species